rnacentral:rRNA from 1 species
CGCAAGAUUAGAACUCAAAGGAAUUGACGGGGAUUCGCACAAGCGGUGGAACAUGUGGUUUAAUUCGACACUACGCGAGGAACCUUACCUGGACUUGACAUGUAUUUGACCGCUGUAGAGAUAUGGUUUUCCAAGUUUACUUGGACAAAUACACAGGUGCUGCAUGGCUGUCGUCAGCUCGUGUCGUGAGAUGUUAGGUUAAGUCCUCUAACGAGCGCAACCCUUGCUGCCAGUUGCAACCCUUAUGGGGGCACUCUGGUGGGACUGCCUGGGAAACCAGGAGGAAGGUGGGGACGACGUCAAGUCAUCAUGGUCCUUAUGUCCAGGGCUACACACGUGUUACAAUGGCCAGUACAAAGAGUUGCAAAACCGUAAGGUCAAGCUAAUCUCAUAAAACUGGUCUAAGUUCGGAUUGAGGUCUGCAACUCGACCUCAUGAAGUUGAAAUCGCUAGUAAUCGCGUAUCAGCAACGACGCGGUGAAUACGUUCACGAAUCUUGUACACACCGCCCGUCACACCACGAGAGCUGUUUGUACCCAAAGUUGCCUUUGCUAACCUGUAAAGGAGGCGGGCACCUAAGGUAUGGAGAGUGAUUGGGGUGAAGUCGUAACAAGGUAACCGUA